rnacentral:lncRNA from 1 species
CAAGGGCUGCCGCGACUAUAGCCGCCCCUGAUUCCCCUUCUAUUCCUGGACUCCUAGGUCCUCCACUUGCCUGCUGGGUCCCACGAAGAACAUUCCCAUGAAACGAUGCUCCCACUAGAGAAGAGAUUCCUGGAGUCCGGAGAUCAUUCUCCUCAAGGUGGGGAACCAGGCAACGCUGAGAUGCUCCCUCCGCACCAGAGGCUGAGGAUCAGAAUGGGGGAAAGCCACAUGGUGGUUUGUUCCCUCUUUCUCUUGCAGCUUUGACCCAGGUGCAAGCUCCGUGACGGGCAAAAGCUAGACAGAUCCAGGAGCUGUGCGCUGGGGGCCUGCUUUUUAGAGUUACACAAACCCCUCUUCAAAGACCUCGUUUCAUGUCUAGCUGGGACACUCCGGACAAGACACCCAACUUCUCCAAGCGGAUGAAACUGUGAUCCGAUGUCCGCAGUUCCAGAGAACCCAAGUUCCUGAGUCCGGGGCGGCGGCAGUGGAGACCCUGAACCCAAGGCCAACUGGAAACCUCCUACUCAGGGCUGAGAGUCGCCAUCGAUCCUCCAUCUGGGGAAAACUGCUCUGCUGGCCGCACUCUGGACGACUGCGGGAAAGAAGAAGCCCCCAUGACCCUUCUUCCCUAGAUAAGCGCUCCAGCUGCAGGGGCCGUUGUGAGGAAACCGGGCCCUAGCAAGUUGGUCCUGUUCUGUGACUCUGGCUGUCAGACAGCACACUUCGUUGCUCACGUGUGCUGUCACCAAUUAACAAGAGGUAGAUUGGCUUUAUCUUUUGAGUAUAAAACUUGGUGCAAUCUAAGGGAUGGUUAAUGUCACCCUUCUGGCCCCUCCCACUGGCCCAUUCCAUUGGCAAAGUACAAGCACAGGCCAGGUGUCUCUUGUAAACAGUCACCGGACUGGCUGAAUUUGUGAAGGACGCCCCGGUCUCUCCCUUCUGCCCUAGGUUGGCCUUGGCAUAUUGUCCUCUAGAUAGGAGCCUUGGCAUGCUUUAUAGCUAAAACCAGGGGCUAGCCUGUUAUAAAUAAAUACUUAAUUUAAAAAAAAGUCUCCCCUAGCUAGCUGGGGAUGACCAAGGUAAGGGUGCAUAAAUGCUGAAGUUCCCGGAAGCCUUCUUCCAAGGCUCCCUCCCGUUCUCUACUGGCUUUUUGUUGUUGUUUUGUUUGUUUUUAACUGCCCUUGUCCCAAUAACAUUAACUGAACAAUAUGCAGGGUGUGUCUUGGAGACCUUUGUCAUAAUGAGACAACCUAGGAAGAGUAAGUAUUCCUGCUUAUCCUGCCUGGUGAAACAAACAAACAAGGCUCAACAAAAUUAACUGCG